GACUAAAUAACUUAAAGCAAUAAGUGAAUGCCUUGGCGACACCAGGCGAUGAAGGACGUGCCAAGCUGCGAUAAGCUUCGGGGAGCGGCAAAGACGCUUUGAUCCGAAGAUUUCCGAAUGGGGCAACCCGGCAGUUUCGACUGUCAUUGCAUGCUGAAUAUAUAGGCAUGCAAAGCAAUACCCGCUGAAGUGAAACAUCUCAGUAAGCGGAGGAAAAGAAAGAGAAUCGAUUCCGUUAGUAGUGGCGAGCGAACGCGGAACAGGCCAAACCGGAGAGAUUUAUCUCUUCGGGGUUGUAGGGCCCCGUCAUGGUACCAACAAAGUUAGCAGAAGCUUCUGGAAAGCUGCUCCAUAGAAGGUGAAAGACCUGUAUGCGAAAACUGAGUUGGACCUAGGGAGUCCCUGAGUAGCACCGGACACGUGAAACCCGGUGUGAAUCUGUGCAGACCACUGCAUAAGCCUAAAUACUAGGUGUCGACCGAUAGUGAACCAGUACCGUGAGGGAAAGGUGAAAAGCACCCCUGUUAGGGGAGUGAAAGAGUACCUGAAACUUAUUGCUAACAAGCGGUUGGAGCUCCUUUAUGGAGUGACAGCGUACCUCUUGCAUAAUGGGUCUGGGAGUUCAUGUUCGUAGCAAGCUUAAGGCAUUACGUGCCGUAGGCGCAGGGAAACCGAGUCUGAAUAGGGCGAUGAGUUGCGGGCAUGAUACCCGAAGCGGAGGCGAUCUACCCUUGGCCAGGUUGAAGCUUUGGUAACACAAAGUGGAGGACCGAACACACGCACCUUGAGAAGUGCGGUGAUGAGCUGAGGGUCGGAGUGAAAGGCUAAUCAAGCCCCGUGAUAGCUGGUUCUCGCCGAAAUAUAUUUAGGUAUAGCGUCUUGUGCUGACUCUCGGGGGUAGAGCACUGAAAAGGCUAGGGCCCCAUACCGGGGUACCAACCCUUAUCAAACUCCGAAUACCGAGAGGUGAAACAAGGCAGUCAGACUGCGGGGGAUAAGCUCCGUAGUCGAGAGGGAAACAGCCCAGACCGCCGAUUAAGGCCCCUAAAUAGUAGCUAAGUGGAUGGAAGGAUGUGAAUCUUCACAGACAAUAGGGAUGUUGGCUUAGAGGCAGCCACCAUUUAAACAGUGCGUAAUAGCUGACCUAUCGAGAGGAUUUGCGCCGAAGAUGAUCGGGACUAAGCUACUUGCCGAAAUCGCGGGAUUGUAUUAUAUAUGAUCAGUAGGCGAGCGUUCUAACAGCGUCGAAGUCAUCUGGUAAUGGAUGGUGGAGCGGUUAGAAGUGAGAAUCCAGACAUGAGUAACGAUAAACAAGGUUAGAAUCCUUGUCGCCGUAAGGAUAAGGUUUCCUGGGCAACGUUCGUCGCCCCAGGGUUAGUCGGCUCCUAACACGAGGCCGUAAGGAGUAGUGGAUGGAAAGCAGGUUAAUAUUCCUGCACCGAGUGGAGAGGACGGAUUGAAAAGACCCCCUAUCUUAUUGAAUUGGGAGUUGAUGGCUACGGCCUGAUACGUAGGGGUUGGAUCGGUUCCAAGAAAAGCCUCCACAAUAAGGCCGUACCGCAAACCGACACAGGUAUCCGGGAUGAGUAUUCUCAGGCGCGUGGGUUAACCCUCCUUAAGGAACUCGGCAAAUUGGCCCCGUAUCUUCGGUAGAAGGGGUGCCCGUAAAAGGGCCGCAGUGAAGAGGUUCAACCAACUGUUUAGCAAAAACACAGCUCUCUGCCAACACGCAAGUGGACGUAUAGGGAGUGACACGUGACCAAUGCGGAAAGGUGAAACCUUGUUGUUAACGCUUCGAGACUAAGCCCCCGUGAAUGUCGGCCGUAACUAUAACGGUCCUAAGGUAGCGAAAUUCCUUGUCGGGUAAGUUCCGACCUGCACGAAUCGUGAAAUGAGUUGAACGCUGUCUCAAGGAGGCGCCCAGUGAAAUUGUAGUCGCUGUGAAGAUGCAGCGUACCCGCAGCAGGACGGAAAGACCCUAUGAACCUUAACUGUAAGCAGGUAUUGGUAUUUGAUUUUCGAUGCGUAGGAUAGGCGGGAGGCUUUGAAGCUGCUCUCCAGGGAGUAGUGGAGCCAAUGGUGAAAUACCGCUCUUCGCUUGUUAGAUAUCUAACCCCGAACCCAUUAGCUGGGCGGGGAACAGUGCUUGCGGGUCAGUUUGACUGGGGCGGUCUCCUCCUAAAGUGUAACGGAGGAUUACGAAGGUCUACUCAGGGCGGUUGGCAAUCGCCCAAAGAGCACAUGGGUAUAAGUAGGCUUUACUGUGAGACCAACAAGUCGAGCAGUUGCGAAAGCAGGUCCAAGUGAUCCGGCGGUCCAGAGUGGGACGGCCGUCGCUUAAAGGAUAAAAGGUACUCUAGGGAUAACAGGCUGAUUCCACCCAAGCGUUCACAGCGACGGUGGAGUUUGGCACCUCGAUGUCGGCUCAUCACAUCCUGGGGCUGGAGAAGGUCCCAAGGGUUAGGCUGUUCGCCUAUUAAAGUGGUACGCGAGCUGGGUUCAGAACGUCGUGAGACAGUUCGGUCCUCUAUCCGCUGUGGGCGUUGGAGAUUUGAGGGGUUCAUUCAUCAGUACGAGAGGACCGUGAAUGACAUGCCUCUGGUGUUCCGGUUAUUGCGUCAGCAGUACCGCCGGGUAGCUAAGCAUGGAACCGAUAAGCGCUGAAAGCAUCUAAGCGCCAAGCGAUUCCCAAGAUAAGAUCUCCCUAAGGAUCCUGGAAGACCACCAGGUAGAUAGGUCGGGUGUGUAAGUGCAGUAAUGCAUUGAGCUAACCGAUACUAAUUAUCCAAUUGGUUUAGUCUA
rnacentral:rRNA from 1 species